GUACAUCAUUGGAAUUGCAGAGUAUGACUCAGACAACAAACCAUUCCAAGAGACAGUUAAACCUAUGGUAGAUGGUGGAACAGAAGGUUUCGAAGGUUAUGCUAGAGUCAUUAUGCCAAGGAUAACACCUUGUUUUGAGCUCAACAUAUGGAUUUUCUCUCCCCAUAUCAAGUUUCCAUUAUGUACCUUCACCAAGACUCAGAGUACUGCUGCUCAUUGCAUUGAGUAUGCUCGUUUCAUCAAAUGGGACAAGAACAUAUGCAGUGGCUUUAUUCAGAGGUUUGUUCUACUGUUAUGACAUGUAAUUUAGGUACAACAAACGUUUUCUAUUUUUUUGAUCUUCAAUUUAUAUCACUCAGCUAAUGGACCUAAGAUCAUAUAGGUAAUCUACUCCUGUAACUAUUCUUCAUGUGCUCGAUUUGCUUAUUUGUUGUUUAUCAUCAACUUUCAUAAACCUUUAGGAUUUGCUUUUGUUUACCAGCAGCUUCAAGAGUGUCCAGAAAUGCUCUGUUUCAAGUGCUCUGUUUUGAGAGGCUGGAAAUGCUCUUUAAUUCUUCUUGUUAUUAAAUUUGAGUUUGCAUUUUGCAAAAAAAGACAGCUAAUGAGUGCUAGGGAUAAUGACCGGUUCUUCAUUACAAUUCAUCUUUUGUUAUUAGGCUCGAUUGUUUGUCACGAAAUGAUAGAUGUAAUAGGCAUUGUACUUCACUACCAUUAAAUUAUAGCUUAUGUACCCUCUACAUGUCAUUGAUUUUUUCCUUGGGCUCUACUCUAAGAUCGCAUCUGCAAUGCUGAGCCACGACUGGAGGUGCAGUGGUGGGGUUCGCCGUGGUCGGUCAGUCCCUGGCAAGAUGUCAACACUGGCGAUCUCCUAUCUCUUUACCAUCCUGAGGUAAACAAGGCAUCCCUACCCUCAGGCUGACUUAGGAUGUAGAUCUGCAACCUCAUAUUGAAGCCGUAUCACUAAGGGGCAGCACAAUGGCAGUGUGUAGCCACCUAGAGAAGUGUUCUAUUUGCAGUAUAACUUCCUUCUCAUAUUAUCUAAUUGAAAAACAGUAGGUGCACAUCAAGGUGCAAUAUUUUCAGCAAUCAGACUUCUAUACUCUGCAAUUAUAAGCUUUUCCAUUGAUCUGGCUUUUCCCAUCUACAGUUCUUCCUUUAGUUAGUUGGUUCUGUCUCUCAAUACACAAUCGGCAUGUAGUACUAUUUAUGCUAUGUACUGCAAACCUAAACAUAAUUUAGCUUUCUCUUAAUGUCUCCAUUAGAUUCACUUCCAUUCUUUGUAAUGCAAGACCAAUGCGCUCAAGAUUCUGGACGCCGAGGCCGCCAAGUGAGGUUGGCUGACUCACUUCUCGCCAAUUGACAUGGCAGCUCCCGCCAUUGGCAGCGGCGCGGUCUUCCCACAAGAAAGCUCCCUCUAUUUUCUCCAUCAGCUUCAGGAUUUUUUUUGGGCGGUGCCAACACCAGAAAUUGGUGGAUUGGGAUCGCACCAAGUACAGACUUCACCAGAGCCAACCUCCCUGGUUUUUGCAUCAUUCUCGAUUUCCAGGUGGGCAGUUUGCCUGCCAUUUUGACAGCAAGGGGCAGUAGUUGGGCAGCAGUUAUAUGAAACAAAAAUGACUUCUAUGUCCAGUACGACUAUCUAGAAUAAAAUAACUGCUAUGAAUCCUCAGUUCAUAAAAAUAUUCAAAUUUAAUUUUACUUGAUCACGUUGACAGUUAGAAGCUUUGAACCAUGUUUUUUUUGCGUAGUAUGCAGUUUAUACCAUCAGAGUAGCUACUAAAACAGAAGUGGCUGUAAGAUACUUUGCAUUGCAUAUGGUUUUAGAUCAUUGCCUCACAUGGAGCUGAACCAUCCGUCCGCAAUGUCGUCGCCAAGGUCAGAGACGAAGCUGCCCUUUGGUUCAGAGUUGGCGCGUCGGGCCUGCGUGUCCUCCUGCCGCCCACCUGGGAUGUCCACUGAGUUUUAAUCUCUGUUUAUCUUUUCAGAACCAUGGCCUCUUAGGAGGAUUGUAACAACUAACUCUUCCCUUCUUUUCAAUGAAAUGAAAUGCAAAAGCUUUUUUGCAUUUUCUCGAAAAAGAUCAUUGCCUCACCGCUGUUGCCUUUUGGUCAAUUUCUAUCU